rnacentral:rRNA from 1 species
GACGGGUGAGUAACACGUGGGCAACCUGACCUGUAGACGGGGAUAACACCGAUAAAUAGGUGCUAAUACCGGAUAACACGAAAGACCGCAUGGUUUUUCGAAGAAAGGCGGCGCAAGCUGUCGCUACAGGAUGGGCCCGCGGCGCAGUAGCUAGAGGGAGAGGUAACGGCUCACCAAGGCGACGAUGCGUAGCCGACCUGAGAGGGUGAACGGCCACACUGGGACUGACACACGGCCCACACUCCUACGGGAGGCAGCAGAAGGGAAACUUCCGCAAUGGACGAAAGACUGACGGAGCAACGCCGCGUGAGCGAAGAAGGCCUACGGGUCGUAAAGCUCUGUAGUAAGGGAAGAACAGGUACCGCAAUCACUGGAGGUACCAUGACGGAACCUAACGAGAAAGCCACGGCUAACUACGUGCCAGCAGCCGCGGGAAUACGUAGGUGGCAAGCGUAUGUCCGGAAUAAGUGGGCGUAAAGCGCGCGCAGGCGGAACCUUAAGACUGAUGAGAAAGCCCACGGCUCAGCCGGGGAGGGACAUUGGAAACUGGGGGACCUUGAGUGCAGAAGAGGA